UACAGAGGGUGCGAGCGUUGUUCGGAAUUAUUGGGCGUAAAGCGCUUGUAGGCGGCACGUCAAGUCGCGUGUGAAAUCCCCAGGCUUAACCUGGGAAGUGCGCGCGAAACUGACGAGCUUGAGUGCCCGGAGAGGGUCGCGGAAUUCCCCGGUGUAGAGGUGAAAUUCGUAGAUAUCGGGAGGAACACCAGUGGCGAAGGCGGCGACCUGGACGGACACGUGACGCUGAGACGCGAAAGCGUGGG
rnacentral:rRNA from 1 species